CCUAAGUUUUGAAAUUGUGGGUUCUUAGAAUUAAUUGUCGAAAUAUAUUGUGAUUUGGUUACAAUUGUUUGUUUAAAUCACAAGGAAUUGAAUUUUAAAUUCAUGGUGGACGCUGAACCUGUUUGAAAUUAGGAGUUAGAAUUUUGGGAUAGAGUCUAUUGCUUUACAGGCCUUGAAAUUGAAUUUUGGUUGCAAAAAUAUUGGGAUUUCAUUUAUUUGGAAUUCACGAGUUCACGGCUGUACAUAGAAUUUAAAAAAAAAAAGGUUUGAAUUUGGGAUAUGUGAAUUCAUGGAUUAAAUUAUUUAUUGGGAUUCACUAACCGAACAGUAUUGUUGGUUUUGAUCUUGAGUUAAAUUCAAAAGUUGAUUCUUCAUCUUUUUAUCACUAUUAAUUUCAAAACCGAUUAUUGAUUCACAUUGCGACUGCGUAAUAGGUUCUUGACAUGUCUAGUAAAUUUACUAUAUUAGAAAAGUUUAUGGGAAAUAAAAGAAAGCUUGAUCGGGACACUAAUAAUUCCAACAAGAAACCAAAAGGGAGUUGUUGGAGAUGUGGAAAACCUGGGCAUUUUAGGAAAAAUUGUCGCGUAAAGCUUGCGGUUGGAAACGAGGCCAACAUAGCGGGUCCAAGUGUGUCAAAAGAUCCAAAUGCUCCACACGAUGAUAUGCUUGCAUGGUGGGUUGACUCGGGUGCUACGAGUCACGUUUGCAAGGAUCUCAAAUGGUUUGAGGAAUUCAAACCAAUUGAAGAUGGAUCUGUACUAAGGAUGGGAAAUGUUGCAACCGAGCCCAUCAAAGGAGUUGGAAAAGUUAGACUUGUAUUCACGUCUGGAAAACACUUGUUGUUAGAUAAUGUGUUGUAUGUACCGGGGAUUCGAAAGAAUCUCUUAUCCGGAAUUGUACUAAACAAUUGUGGUUAUAAACAGGUCAUUGAGUC
rnacentral:lncRNA from 1 species